rnacentral:rRNA from 1 species
GGGUUGUGAGGUUAAGCGACUAAGCGUACACGGUGGAUGCCCUGGCAGUCAGAGGCGAUGAAGGACGUGCUAAUCUGCGAAAAGCGACGGCGAGGUGAUAUGAACCUUUGACCCGUCGAUGUCCGAAUGGGGAAACCCAGUGUGUUUCGACACACUAUCGUUAACUGAAUACAUAGGUUAACGAGGCGAACCGGGGGAACUGAAACAUCUAAGUACCCCGAGGAAAAGAAAUCAACCGAGAUUCCCCCAGUAGCGGCGAGCGAACGGGGAGCAGCCCGGAGUCUGAAUCAGCUUGUGUGUUAGUGGAAGCGUCUGGAAAGUCGCACGGUACAGGGUGACAGUCCCGUACACGAAAAUGCACAGGUUGUGAACUCGAAGAGUAGGGCGGGACACGUGGUAUCCUGUCUGAAUAUGGGGGGACCAUCCUCCAAGGCUAAAUACUCCUGACUGACCGAUAGUGAACCAGUACCGUGAGGGAAAGGCGAAAAGAACCCCGGCGAGGGGAGUGAAAAAGAACCUGAAACCGUGUACGUACAAGCAGUGGGAGCACCUUCGGGUGUGACUGCGUACCUUUUGUUUAAUGGGUCAGCGACUUAUAUUCUGUAGCAAGGUUAACCGUAUAGGGGAGCCGCAGGGAAACCGAGUCUUAACUGGGCGUUAAGUUGCAGGGUAUAGACCCGAAACCCGGUGAUCUAGCCAUGGGCAGGUUGAAGGUUGGGUAACACUAACUGGAGGACCGAACCGACUAAUGUUGAAAAAUUAGCGGAUGACCUGUGGCUGGGGGUGAAAGGCCAAUCAAACCGGGAGAUAGCUGGUUCUCCCCGAAAGCUAUUUAGGUAGCGCCUCGUGAACUCAUCUUCGGGGGUAGAGCACUGUUUCGGCUAGGGGGCCAUCCCGGCUUACCAACCCGAUGCAAACUACGAAUACCGAAGAAUGUUAUCACGGGAGACACACGGCGGGUGCUAACGUCCGUCGUGAAGAGGGAAACAACCCAGACCGCCAGCUAAGGUCCCAAAGUCAUGGUUAAGUGGGAAACGAUGUGGGAAGGCACAGACAGCCAGGAUGUUGGCUUAGAAGCAGCCAUCAUUUAAAGAAAGCGUAAUAGCUCACUGGUCGAGUCGGCCUGCGCGGAAGAUGUAACGGGGCUAAACCAUGCACCGAAGCUGCGGCAGCGACACUAUGUGUUGUUGGGUAGGGGAGCGUUCUGUAAGCCGUUGAAGGUGUGCUGUGAGGCAUGCUGGAGGUAUCAGAAGUGCGAAUGCUGACAUAAGUAACGAUAAAGCGGGUGAAAAGCCCGCUCGCCGGAAGACCAAGGGUUCCUGUCCAACGUUAAUCGGGGCAGGGUGAGUCGACCCCUAAGGCGAGGCCGAAAGGCGUAGUCGAUGGGAAACAGGUUAAUAUUCCUGUACUUGGUGUUACUGCGAAGGGGGGACGGAGAAGGCUAUGUCAGCCGGGCGACGGUUGUCCCGGUUUAAGCGUGUAGGUGUGUGUUCCAGGCAAAUCCGGUUCACUUUAACACUGAGGCGUGAUGACGAGGCACUACGGUGCUGAAGUGAUAAAUGCCCUGCUUCCAGGAAAAGCCUCUAAGCAUCAGGUAACACGAAAUCGUACCCCAAACCGACACAGGUGGUCAGGUAGAGAAUACCAAGGCGCUUGAGAGAACUCGGGUGAAGGAACUAGGCAAAAUGGUGCCGUAACUUCGGGAGAAGGCACGCUGAUAUGUAGGUGAAGUCCCUGCGGACGGAGCUGAAAUCAGUCGAAGAUACCAGCUGGCUGCAACUGUUUAUUAAAAACACAGCACUGUGCAAACACGAAAGUGGACGUAUACGGUGUGACGCCUGCCCGGUGCCGGAAGGUUAAUUGAUGGGGUUAGCGGCAACGCGAAGCUCUUGAUCGAAGCCCCGGUAAACGGCGGCCGUAACUAUAACGGUCCUAAGGUAGCGAAAUUCCUUGUCGGGUAAGUUCCGACCUGCACGAAUGGCGUAAUGAUGGCCAGGCUGUCUCCACCCGAGACUCAGUGAAAUUGAACUCGCUGUGAAGAUGCAGUGUACCCGCGGCAAGACGGAAAGACCCCGUGAACCUUUACUAUAGCUUGACACUGAACACUGGUCCUUGAUGUGUAGGAUAGGUGGGAGGCUUUGAAGCGUGGACGCCAGUCUGCGUGGAGCCGUCCUUGAAAUACCACCCUUUAAUGGCUGGUGUUCUAACGUGGACCCGUGAUCCGGGUUGCGGACAGUGUCUGGUGGGUAGUUUGACUGGGGCGGUCUCCUCCCAAAGAGUAACGGAGGAGCACGAAGGUUAGCUAAUCCUGGUCGGACAUCAGGAGGUUAGUGCAAUGGCAUAAGCUAGCUUGACUGCGAGAGUGACGGCUCGAGCAGGUGCGAAAGCAGGUCAUAGUGAUCCGGUGGUUCUGAAUGGAAGGGCCAUCGCUCAACGGAUAAAAGGUACUCCGGGGAUAACAGGCUGAUACCGCCCAAGAGUUCAUAUCGACGGCGGUGUUUGGCACCUCGAUGUCGGCUCAUCACAUCCUGGGGCUGAAGUAGGUCCCAAGGGUAUGGCUGUUCGCCAUUUAAAGUGGUACGCGAGCUGGGUUUAGAACGUCGUGAGACAGUUCGGUCCCUAUCUGCCGUGGGCGCUGGAGAAUUGAGGGGGGCUGCUCCUAGUACGAGAGGACCGGAGUGGACGCAUCACUGGUGUUCGGGUUGUCAUGCCAAUGGCACUGCCCGGUAGCUAAAUGCGGAAGAGAUAAGUGCUGAAAGCAUCUAAGCACGAAACUUGCCCCGAGAUGAGUUCUCCCUGAGACUAUAAGUCUCCUGAAGGAACGUUGAAGACGACGACGUUGAUAGGCCGGGUGUGUAAGCGCAGCGAUGCGUUGAGCUAACCGGUACUAAUGAACCGUGAGGCUUAACCUUACAACGCCGAAGCUGUU